CCUACGGGAGGCAGCAGUGAGGAAUAUUGGUCAAUGGACGAGCGUCUGAACCAGCCAAGUAGCGUGAAGGAUGACUGCCCUAUGGGUUGUAAACUUCUUUUAUAAAGGAAUAAAACGAGGCACGUGUGCCUUUUUGCAUGUACUUUAUGAAUAAGGAUCGGCUAACUCCGUGCCAGCAGCCGCGGGAAUACGGAGGAUCCGAGCUUUUUCCCGAUUUAUUGGGUUUAAAGGGCUCGGAGAUGGGUAUGUAAGUCAGUUGUGAAAGUUUGCGGCUCAACCUUAAAAUUGCAAUUGAUACUGGCAGUCUUGAGUACAGUUGAGGUAGGCGGAAUUCGUGGUGUAGCGGUGAAAUGCUUAGAUAUCACGAAGAACCCCGAUUGCGAAGGCAGCUUACUAAACUGUGACUGACAUUGAUGCUCGAAGGUGUGGGUAUCAAACAGGAUUAGAUACCCCAGUAGUC
rnacentral:rRNA from 1 species